rnacentral:rRNA from 1 species
CAGGUAGAGAAUACCAAGGCGCUUGAGAGAACUCGGGUGAAGGAACUAGGCAAAAUGGUACCGUAACUUCGGGAGAAGGUACGCUCCUCGCGGUGAUGAGACUUGCUCUCUAAGCUGCUGGGAGUCGCAGAUACCAGGUGGCUGCAACUGUUUAUUAAAAACACAGCACUGUGCAAAAUCGAAAGAUGACGUAUACGGUGUGACGCCUGCCCGGUGCCGGAAGGUUAAUUGAUGGGGUUAGACUUCGGUCGAAGCUCUUGAUCGAAGCCCCGGUAAACGGCGGCCGUAACUAUAACGGUCCUAAGGUAGCGAAAUUCCUUGUCGGGUAAGUUCCGACCUGCACGAAUGGCGUAAUGAUGGCCACGCUGUCUCCACCCGAGACUCAGUGAAAUUGAAAUCGCAGUGAAGAUGCUGUGUACCCGCGGCUAGACGGAAAGACCCCGUGAACCUUUACUACAGCUUGGCACUGAACAUUGACCCUACAUGUGUAGGAUAGGUGGGAGCCUUUGAAGCAUUGUCGCUAGAUGAUGUGGAGGCAAUCUUGAAAUACCACCCUUGUAUGCUUGAUGUUCUAACGUCGCCCCCUUAUCGGGGGUGCGGACAGUGCCUGGUGGGUAGUUUGACUGGGGCGGUCUCCUCCCAAAGAGUAACGGAGGAGCACGAAGGUGGGCUAAUCACGGUCGGACAUCGUGAGGUUAGUGCAAUGGCAUAAGCCGCUUGACUGCGAGAAUGACAAUUCGAGCAGGUGCGAAAGCAGGUCAUAGUGAUCCGGUGGUUCUGAAUGGAAGGGCCAUCGCUCAACGGAUAAAAGGUACUCCGGGGAUAACAGGCUGAUACCGCCCAAGAGUUCAUAUCGACGGCGGUGUUUGGCACCUCGAUGUCGGCUCAUCACAUCCUGGGGCUGAAGUCGGUCCCAAGGGUAUGGCUGUUCGCCAUUUAAAGUGGUACGCGAGCUGGGUUUAGAACGUCGUGAGACAGUUCGGUCCCUAUCUGCCGUGGGCGUUAGAUGAUUGAGAGGGGCUGCUCCUAGUACGAGAGGACCGGAGUGGACGAACCGCUGGUGUUCGGGUUGUUAUGCCAAUAGCAUUGCCCGGUAGCUACGUUCGGAAUCGAUAAGCGCUGAAAGCAUCUAAGCGCGAAGCGAGCCUCAAGAUGAGUCAUCUCUAGACCUUUAAGGUCUCUAAAGGGUUGUCGAAGACUACGACGUUGAUAGGCAGGGUGUGUAAGUGCUGCGAGGCAUUGAGCUAACCUGUACUAAUUGCCCGUGAGGCUUAACCAUACAACACCCAAGGGGUUU